UACGUAGGGCGCGAGCGUUGUCCGGAAUUAUUGGGCGUAAAGAGCUCGUAGGCGGUGUGUCGCGUCGGCUGUGAAAACCCGAGGCUCAACCUCGGGCCUGCAGUCGAUACGGGCAGACUAGAGUGCUGUAGGGGGAGACUGGAAUUCCUGGUGUAGCGGUGAAAUGCGCAGAUAUCAGGAGGAACACCGGUGGCGAAGGCGGGUCUCUGGGCAGUAACUGACGCUGAGGAGCGAAAGCGUGGGGGAGCAAACAGG
rnacentral:rRNA from 1 species